UACGAGGGGGCAAAUGUUGUUCGGAAUCACUGGGCGUAAAGGGAGCGUAGGCGGGGGUUUAAGGUAGGUGUUUAAUCCUGGGGCCCAACCCCAGUCGUGCACCUAAAACUGGACAUCUUGAAUAGUGGAGAGGUCAGUGGAAUUGGGGGUGUAGCGGUGGAAUGCGUAGAGAUCCCCAAGAACACCAGUUGCGAAGGCGGCUGACUGGACACAUAUUGACGCUGAGGCUCGAAAGCAUGGGGAGCAAACAGG
rnacentral:rRNA from 1 species